CAAAAGGCUCUUUUCAGAGCCACUCUCUUAAUCAACAAAAGGAGCU
rfam:Mustela putorius furo unplaced genomic scaffold scaffold00400, whole genome shotgun sequence.